UACGAAGGGGGCUAGCGUUGUUCGGAAUUACUGGGCGUAAAGCGCGUGUAGGCGGGUCUUUUAAGUCAGGGGUGAAAUGCCCAAGGCUCAACCUUGGAACUGCCUUUGAUACUGGAAGUCUUGAGUAUGGAAGAGGUAAGUGGAAUUGCGAGUGUAGAGGUGAAAUUCGUAGAUAUUCGCAGGAACACCAGUGGCGAAGGCGGCUUACUGGUCCAUUACUGACGCUGAGGUGCGAAAAGCGUGGGGAGCAAACAGG
rnacentral:rRNA from 1 species